UACAGAGGUCUCAAGCGUUGUUCGGAUUCAUUGGGCGUAAAGGGUGCGUAGGCGGCGCGGUAAGUCGGGUGUGAAAUCUCGGAGCUUAACUCCGAAACUGCAUUCGAUACUGCCGUGCUUGAGGACUGGAGAGGAGACUGGAAUUUACGGUGUAGCGGUGAAAUACGUAGAUAUCAGGUGGAACACCGGAGGCGAAGGCGGUUAACUGGCUCGACACUGACACUGAGACCCGAAAGUGCGGGGAUCAAACAGG
rnacentral:rRNA from 1 species